CACAUCAGAAAUUGCAGCACUGAAGAACAGAGUUCAUGCAGACUUUUACAACAUGCAUCAGCUACAGCAUUUGUUUGUUGAUGGUACCAGCUGUCAAAAACCAAGCAAGUGGCAGUGCUAGAGGUGCCACAAAAGUGCGAAGGAAGUGUCAGGCUGGAUGUCAAAAUGAACACCUUGGAGAACUGGAUGAUGGAACAGACGGUAAAAAUCAGCUAAACAUCAGAGAAAAUGGAGGAAGAGGUCAAAACUGUGAACAGGAACUAGAAGAAAGUGUAGCAGAAAAAGACUUGUCACAAACUUCGAGAGAUUUGGAGAAAAUGAUGUCAAAACACAUCUUCCUCAAGCCCAUGCUGAGUAUCUCUGAUUUGGUUAAUUUCUUGUUACUUUAUAUGGAUGUUGGUUGCUGUUCUGUUUAGUUCAAAAUACCUCGGAUCUGACCAGGUGUGGUGGCUCACACCUGUAAUCCCAGCAAUUUGGGAGACCAAGGCAGGUGGAUCAACUGAGGUCAGGAGUUCAAGAACAGCCUUACCAACAUGAUGAAACCAUCUCUUCUAAAAAUACAAAAAUUACCCAGGCGUGGUGGUGGGUGACUCUAAUCCCAGGUACUUGGGAGGCUGAAGCAGGAGAAUCCCUUGAACCUGGGAGGUGGAGGUUGCAGUGGGCCAAGAUCGUGCUACUGCACUCCAGCCCCAGCUGGGUGACAGAGUGAGACACUGUCUCAAAAACAAAACAAAAACAAAAACAAAACAACCUGUCAAUAUCACUGGGGAAAGAGUUUGUCAAACUCCAAGGCAAUUUUCAGUGAGAAUGACACUAAGUUUCAGACUUCAGGGCAAUAGGAAUGAUGUCAGACUUCAAUUACAUUCCCCAUGAAGAACCAGACAGCUAGAGUGUCGCUAUGUACUUUUAAAAGAUGACUGAGGAUGGAGACAAGUGAGUUGGCAGACAGUGGCAACCUCUGGAAGACAGAAUCUUCUCUGCUGGUUCCCAGGCUGCUGCUCCGAAAGUCCCAAAACAC
ensembl:lncRNA LINC02576 long intergenic non-protein coding RNA 2576